rnacentral:misc_RNA from 1 species
CGCCGCCCGACUCGCCAUGAUGGGGCUCGCAAACAUGAUCUCCGUCCCCAUGUCCCUCAACGCCAUCGUCCGCCUCGGCGUCCCCGACGCCAUCUGGCAGUCCGGCGCCAACACCUCCCUCACCGCCGCCGAGAUCCUCCCCCUCCUCCGCCCGCCGCCUCCCCCCUCCGCCGCCACCAACCUCCAACGCCUCCUCCGCCUCCUCUCCAGCCACGGCGUCUUCACUGAG